GCAGCAUGGUAGACAUUCAACUCAAG
rnacentral:piRNA from 1 species